rnacentral:rRNA from 2 species
CGGUAAUACGUAGGUGGCAAGCGUUAUCCGGGAUUUAUUGGGCGUAAAGAGAGUGCAGGCGGUUUUCUAAGUCUGAUGUGAAAGCAUUCGGCUUAACCGGAGAAGUGCAUCGGAAACUGGAUAACUUGAGUGCAGAAGAGGGUAGUGGAACUCCAUGUGUAGCGGUGGAAUGCGUAGAUAUAUGGAAGAACACCAGUGGCGAAGGCGGCUACCUGGUCUGCAACUGACGCUGAGACUCGAAAGCAUGGGUAGCGAACAGGAUUAGAUACCCUGGUAGUCCAUGCCGUAAACGAUGAGUGCUAGGUGUUGGAGGGUUUCCGCCCUUCAGUGCCGGAGCUAACGCAUUAAGCACUCCGCCUGGGGAGUACGACCGCAAGGUUGAAACUCAAAGGAAUUGACGGGGGCCCGCACAAGCGGUGGAGCAUGUGGUUUAAUUCGAAGCUACGCGAAGAACCUUACCAGGUCUUGACAUCUUGCGCCAACCCUAGAGAUAGGGCGUUUCCUUCGGGAACGCAAUGACAGGUGGUGCAUGGUCGUCGUCAGCUCGUGUCGUGAGAUGUUGGGUUAAGUCCCGCAACGAGCGCAACCCUUGUUACUAGUUGCCAGCAUUAAGUUGGGCACUCUAGUGAGACUGCCGGUGACAAACCGGAGGAAGGUGGGGACGACGUCAGAUCAUCAUGCCCCUUAUGACCUGGGCUACACACGUGCUACAAUGGACGGUACAACGAGUCGCGAACUCGCGAGGGCAAGCAAAUCUCUUAAAACCGUUCUCAGUUCGGACUGCAGGCUGCAACUCGCCUGCACGAAGUCGGAAUCGCUAGUAAUCGCGGAUCAGCAUGCCGCGGUGAAUACGUUCCCGGGCCUUGUACACACCGCCCGUCACACCAUGAGAGUUUGUAACACCCAAAGUCGGUGGGGUAACC